GAAACAGGUGCUAAUACCGUAUAACACUAUUUUCCGCAUGGAAGAAAGUUGAAAGGCGCUUUUGCGUCACUGAUGGAUGGACCCGCGGUGCAUUAGCUAGUUGGUGAGGUAACGGCUCACCAAGGCCACGAUGCAUAGCCGACCUGAGAGGGUGAUCGGCCGCACUGGGACUGAGACACGGCCCAGACUCCUACGGGAGGCAGCAGUAGGGAAUCUUCGGCAAUGAACGAAAGUCUGACCGAGCAACGCCGCGUGAGUGAAGAAGGUUUUCGGAUCGUAAAACUCUGUUGUUAGAGAAGAACAAGGAUGAGAGUAAAACGUUCAUCCCUUGACGGUAUCUAACCAGAAAGCCACGGCUAACUACGUGCCAGCAGCCGCGGUAAUACGUAGGUGGCAAGCGUUGUCCGGAUUUAUUGGGCGUAAAGCGAGCGCAGGCGGUUUCUUAAGUCUGAUGUGAAAGCCCCCGGCUCAACCGGGGAGGGUCAUUGGAAACUGGGAGACUUGAGUGCAGAAGAGGAGAGUGGAAUUCCAUGUGUAGCGGUGAAAUGCGUAGAUAUAUGGAGGAACACCAGUGGCGAAGGCGGCUCUCUGGUCUGUAACUGACGCUGAGGCUCGAAAGCGUGGGGAGCGAACAGGAUUAGAUACCCUGGUAGUCC
rnacentral:rRNA from 1 species